ensembl:lncRNA TMCC1-DT TMCC1 divergent transcript
GCCUUCCCACGCGGUCUCUGGGCUGGUUGAGCUGCGCCGCUGCAGGUAGUGCUGAGUUGCUCCAGUGCCACUGGGUUAGGGUCUCCACAACCGAGCUGGUCUCAGCAAGUGGUGUCCAUACAUGGGGCUCGAACCUGGGUUGAAGGGUCGCCAGAGCGACGGUUGGAGAACGUGGAACUAAGCUGGAGGACACCUGAGUACUCUUAAGCAAUCCCCGUGGGGGAGUUAAUCCUCGAGGAUUGGAACGUAAUUCUCUUUGGCAAAUGGAUGUCACCCACGUUCCCUCGUUUGGGAGACUAGCUUAUGUACAUGUAUGUGUGGACACCUUUUCUCACUUUGUCUGGGCUACAUGCCAAUCAGGAGAGUCUUCUGCCUGAGUUAAACAUCACCUUUUGCAGUGUUUUGUGGUGAUGGGCAUUCCAGCUUCUAUUAAAACAGAUAACGUCCCAGGCUAUACUAGCCAAGCUCUAGCUACAUUUUUCUCUAUAUGGAAUACUAAACACAUUACUGGCAUUCCGUAUAAUUCUCAAGGACAAGCCAUAGUGGAAAGAAUGAAUCCCUCCCUGAAACAGCAGUUGCAAAAGCAAAAAGGGGGAAACAGGGACUAUGGGAUACCCCAUAUGCAAUUGAAUCUAGUAUUAUUGACUUUAAAUUUUUUGAGACUGCCUAAAGGCCAGAUGCUAUCAGCAGCUGAAUAGCAUCUACAGAAACCAGCUGCAAAGACAGAAGCAGAACAACUGGUUUGGUGGAGAGAGCCAAUGAUAAAAAGUUGGGAAAUGGGUAGAAUAAUAACUUGGGGUAGAGGUUAUCCUUGUGUUUCUCCAGGACCAAAUCAACUGCCAAUUUGGAUAUCAUCGAGGCACCUGAAACCUUAUCAUGAGCCUGAUGCUGAGGAAUAGAUUCUGGGAGGAUCCCGAGGAUCCCCUGGUUGCAGCCAUGUUGAGACUGACGCUGAGGGGGACCCCAACUGUCACGAGCAACACCCAUCGAACGCAGCCACCUACCUGGGGACAGAUCAAGAAGCUGUCACAGAUGGCAGAAGAAAACCUAAGGAAAGUGGGACAACCAGUCACAAUGAGUAAUUUAAUGAUAGCUAUGAUAGUGGUGAUCACCAUUGCCAUGAGUAUUCCUUCAACAAGGGCUGGCACAGAGGACAAUUAUACUUAUUGGGCGUAUUUAUCAAUCUUGGCUGGCAAUAAUGCCUGGAUGUAAUCACUCUAUGACACAGUUACACAUGCUUUCUGGUCUCCGUAUUUACCAUAAUAAAUCUGCUCCUGUAAUUGAGGUAUACUGCCCUCAAAAACCUAUUUGUAAACAGAAUUGGACCUGGCUAGAAAUAAUGAAUGUAUUUGUUUGGGAAGAUUGCAUUGCAAAACAGGCAGAGGUGCUGUGCAACAAUUCCCGUGGAAUCAUUAUUGAUUGGUCCCCUAAGGGGAUGUUUAGCUUGAAUUGCACCUGUCAGUCUGUGUGCCACAGCCACACUAUGUUCAGCUGGUCUGAACAAAAUGGUCAAAUGGUAGAAAUGGUAAGAAGUAUGGCAAGAGUUCCUAUUAUUUGAAAACAUGGUGGUAUAGUGGCACCUCAACCUCAAAUGAUAUGGCCCGCUCUAGGAGCUUAACAUAAGGAUUUGUGGAAACUAUUAAUGGCUCUUAAUAAGAUCAAAAUUUGGGAGAGAGUAAAAAAGCAUCUAGAAGGACACUCUACAAACUUGUCUUUGGAUAUUGCAAAAUUAAAAGAACAAAUAUUUAAAGCAUCCCAGGCACACCUGACCUUAAUGCCAGAAAUAGGAGUGCUUGAAGGAGUGUAGACAGAUUAGCAGGUAGUAACCCAUUAAAAUAGAUAAAAACACUUGGAAGCUCUGUGAUUUCAAUGAUGAUGGUGCUUUUAAUCUGUGUUGUUUGUCUUUGUAUAGUCUGCAGCUCCCGACUCCUGCAAGAAGUAGCUCACCAUGAUAAAGCCACCUUUGCAUUUAUCAUCUUGCAAAAACAAAAAGGGGGAACAUGUUGGGAACAGGCCCCCAAAUCUGGCCAUAAACUGGCCCCAAAACUGACCAUAAACAAAAUCUCUGCAGCACUGUGACAUGUUCGUGAUGGCUAUGACACCCACCCUGAAGGUUGUGGGUUUACUGUAAUGAGGGCAAGGAACACCUGGCCCACCCAGGGCAGAAAACUGCUUAAGGCGUUCCUAAGCCACAGACAAUAGCAUGAGUGAUCUAUGCAUUAAGGACAUGUUCCUGCUGCAGAUAACUAGCCCAACCCAUCCUUUUGUUUUGGCCCAUCCCUUUGUUUCCUGUAAGGAAUGCUUUUAGUUAAUCUGUAAUCUAUAGAAACAAUGGUUAUCACUGGCUUGCUGUCAGUAAAUAUGUGGGUUAAACUCUGUUUGGGGCUCUCAGAUCUGAAGGCUGUCAGCCCCCUGGAUUUCCCACUCCACACUCUAUAGUUCUGUGUGUGUGUGUGUGUGUGUGUGUGUGUGUGUGUUUCUUUAAUUCCUCUAGUGCUGCUGGGUUAGGGUCUCCACGACUGAGCUAGUCUCAGCAGUAUAAAAAUCAGAAUAUUAAUUUGGCAACAUUUGGUAAUAUCAAUGCAGAAUAUUUAUCAGAAAUCAAAUGUUAUCACCAAAAAUCUACUCUACUUUGUUAUCCAGGAGAUGCAAUACAAAACCCAUUAAUUAAAACAUUAACAGAUACUAUUAAAAUACUUUGGGAUAAGGUCAGAAAUGCUAAAUGUUACUUAUUAUUUUAGACACAUUACCUGAUGCGAGGCAUAUAGUGCAGAUGAUUAUGGUUAGAGUUGUGAUUUUCUAAACUCAAAUACUUCUAUAUGUGAACAUUUUUGGGAGAUUUUUGUCACAACUGGAGAAAGAUUAUUUUUAAAUUUUAGUAAACUACUUACAAAAACUGAACCAGACAAAAAUAAUUCAAGAAGCUAGAAAUAUGACAACAUGGUGCAAUAGGAAAUCCUUGAAUAAAAAAUAUAUAUAUGUAUAUAUACACCAUAAAAUAUAGAAUGGUAUAUUCUGUAUCAUUCUAUAUUCCUUUUCUAAAGCAUCAUUAUUAUUAUUUGAGAUGAGGGGGAGAUCUAACCAUGUUGCCUGGG